rnacentral:rRNA from 1 species
UUCUGGUUGAUCCCGCCGGACCUGACUGCUAUCGGAUUGAUACUAAGCCAUGCGAGUCUUUGCAGUAAUGCAAGGCAUACGGCUCAGUAACACGUAGUCAACUUACCCUAUGGACGAGGAUAAUCUCGGGAAACUGAGCAUAAUACUCGAUAGAUCAUAAUGCCUGGAAUGGUUUAUGGUUGAAAUGAUUCGUCGCCAUAGGAUGGGACUGCGGCCUAUCAGCUUGUUGGUGAGGUAAUGGCCCACCAAGGCGAUUACAGGUACGGGCUCUGAGAGGAGAAGCCCGGAGAUGGGUACUGAGACAAGGACCCAGGCCCUAUGGGGCGCAGCAGGCGAGAAAACUUUGCAAUGUGCGAAAGCACGACAAGGUUAAUCCGAGUGAUUUCUGCUAAAGAAAUCUUUUGCAAGUCAUAAAACCACUAGUGAAUAAGGGGUGGGCAAGUUCUGGUGUCAGCCGCCGCGGUAAAACCAGCACCUCAAGUGGUCAGGAGGAUUAUUGGGCCUAAAGCAUCCGUAGCCGGCUCUGUAAGUUUUCGGUUAAAUCCAUGUGCUCAACGCAUGGGCUGCCGAAAAUACUGCAUAGCUAGGGAGUGGGAGAGGUAGACGGUACUCGGUAGGAAGGGGUAAAAUCCUUUGAUCUAUCGAUGACCACCUGUGGCGAAGGCGGUCUACCAGAACACGUUCGACGGUGAGGGAUGAAAGCUGGGGGAGCAAACCGGAUUAGAUACCCGGGUAGUCCCAGCUGUAAACGAUGCAGACUCGAUGAUGCAUUGGCAUAUAGCCAGUGCAGUGUCGCAGGGAAGCCGUUAAGUCUGCCGCCUGGGAAGUACGUACGCAAGUAUGAAACUUAAAGGAAUUGGCGGGGGAGCACCACAAGGGGUGAAGCCUGCGGUUCAAUUGG